rnacentral:lncRNA from 1 species
CAAGAAAUAAAAAAUGUUACUAACAAAUUAAAACUUAGCAACAAUAAUUAGUUAGAACCUUAAUGACCUGCUGAAUUCCUUCCAAGACAUUGGAUUCUUUGGAUCCGGAGCAUGUUUAUUAUGAUUCUUUUUGCUUCCAAAAAUAAAGGGCUUCAUCAAUUUCUUGAGGACCCUAUGGAAUGCGGAACCAUGGCCACGGCCGCGACCGCGACCGUGACCACGACCUUGCUUCACUUGUUGAGUCACAAGUGGAGUUGAAGUUGUUGGUGCAACACUGAAGAACUUUGAAGAAGAUGAAGGAUGAGAGACUGAUGAGG